UAUGUAAUUGCCAGCAGCCGCGGUAAUACGGAGGAUGCGAGCGUUAUCCGGAUUUAUUGGGUUUAAAGGGAGCGCAGACGGGUCGUUAAGUCAGCUGUGAAAGUUUGGGGCUCAACCUUAAAAUUGCAGUUGAUACUGGCGUCCUUGAGUGCGGUUGAGGUGUGCGGAAUUCGUGGUGUAGCGGUGAAAUGCUUAGAUAUCACGAAGAACUCCGAUUGCGAAGGCAGCACACUAAUCCGUAACUGACGUUCAUGCUCGAAAGUGUGGGUAUCAAACAGG
rnacentral:rRNA from 1 species